rnacentral:tRNA from 1 species
GGGGGUAUAGCUCAGUGGUAGAGCACGUGCUUAGCAUGCACGAGGUCCUGGGUUCAAUCCCCAGUACUUCUG